GGGCGUAAGAGCUCGUAGGCGGUUUGUCGCGUCUGCUGUGAAAACCCGAGGCUCAACCUCGGGCCUGCAGUGGGUACGGGCAGACUAGAGUGCGGUAGGGGAGAUUGGAAUUCCUGGUGUAGCGGUGGAAUGCGCAGAUAUCAGGAGGAACACCAAUGGCGAAGGCAGAUCUCUGGGCCGUAACUGACGCUGAGGAGCGAAAGCGUGGGGAGCGAACAGGAUUAGAUACCCUGGUAGUCCACGCCGUAAACGUUGGGAACUAGAUGUAGGGACCAUUCCACGGUUUCUGUGUCGCAGCUAACGCAUUAAGUUCCCCGCCUGGGGAGUACGGUCGCAAGACUAAAACUCAAAGGAAUUGACGGGGGCCCGCACAAGCGGCGGAGCAUGCGGAUUAAUUCGAUGCAACGCGAAGAACCUUACCAAGGCUUGACAUAUAGAGGAAACGUCUGGAAACAGUCGCCCCGCAAGGUCUCUAUACAGGUGGUGCAUGGUUGUCGUCAGCUCGUGUCGUGAGAUGUUGGGUUAAGUCCCGCAACGAGCGCAACCCUCGUCCUAUGUUGCCAGCACGUAAUGGUGGGAACUCAUGGGAGACUGCCGGGGUCAACUCGGAGGAAGGUAAU
rnacentral:rRNA from 1 species